rnacentral:rRNA from 1 species
UACAGAGGUGGCAAGCGUUGUUCGGAAUUACUGGGCGUAAAGGGCGCGUAGGCGGUUCGGUAAGUCCGCUGUGAAAGUCGGGGGCUCAACCCUCGAAUGCCGGUGGAUACUGUCGGACUAGAGUACGGAAGAGGCGAGUGGAAUUCCUGGUGUAGCGGUGAAAUGCGCAGAUAUCAGGAGGAACACCAAUUGCGAAGGCAGCUCGCUGGGACGUUACUGACGCUGAGACGCGAAAGCGUGGGGAGCAAACAGG